rnacentral:rRNA from 1 species
AUUAUUUUAAGUAAAAUCUGCUCCAUGUUAAAUAAAUAGCCGCAGAAAUUUAACUGUGCUAAGGUAGCAUAAUCAUUUACCUUUUAAUUAAAGGUUUGUAUGAACGAUUUAACACUUAAGUUACUUUUUUAUUAAAAUUUAUAAAAUUUAAAUUAAACAUAAAAAUGUUUUUAUUUUUAAAAAAGACGAUAAGACCCUAUUGAACUUAACUUAUGUUAAGCUGGGGAAGCUAAUUAAAUAUAAUUUUGAUUAAUAAUCUAACAAUAAUUUCUAAUAUAAUUAUAAUAAUAAGUUACCAUAGGGAUAACAGCAUAAUAUAAUUUUAAAGCUCAUAUAAAAAAUAAGUUUACGACCUCGAUGUUGAAUUAGAAUUCUUAUAAACGCAAGCGUUAGAAAGUAGGUCUG